rnacentral:misc_RNA from 1 species
UGUAAAGCCAAAAUUGUUGUUGUAGACUUUCUAUCCAUGCCCAAAUAACAUAAGGAAGACAUACAUAUAUAGUAGUACUAAAUGUGUGCAGUGUGUAGUGCUCUCAUACCACGCUGGUAAAACUUCCAGUGAGUUUCUGCAUAAUCUGUCACUUUCUUGUAUAUCCUUGGUCUAUCCACAUUAACUAAGUCAUCUUCUGGUCCGAUUUCUUUCCCUAAUUCAGGUGUGUAGAACAUUGCAAUAGAAAUUCUGUCCCUCUCUGAAUUACUCACUACCCUAUGCACCGGGCUCUUGAAUAUUCCAUUGCUCAUUAUCUCCAUUUGAUCACCCAUGAGAACAAGCAGAGCUGUAGGAUUUCUUGGUACUGUAUACCAUUUUCCAUCCUUGAGCACUUGGAGUCCUACUUCAUCUUGUAAAAUAAUAGUGUAUCCUGUUCCAUCAGCAUGGGGUUUUAAGCCAAGAACCAGAUCAGGCCUCUGACAUGGUGAGUAGUAGUUAAACCUUGCAUGCAGUUGCGCUUUUUUUCCAAACUGUUCUAAGAAGCAAGUUUCUUCCAGUUUCAAUGACUUUGCCAUAGCUUUAGAGGUAAUUUCCGUGACCAUCUUCAUUUUCUCAGAAUAAUCUUCCAAGACCUCUCUGAAUGAUAUUGGG